rnacentral:rRNA from 1 species
GUUGCCAGCAUUUAGUUGGGCACUCUAAGGGGACGUGCCGGUGAUAAGCCGAGAGGAAGGUGGGGAUGACGUCAAGUCCUCAUGGCCCUUACGGGCUGGGCUACACACGUGCUACAAUGGUGGUGACAGUGGGCAGCGAGCACGCGAGUGUGAGCUAAUCUCCAAAAGCCAUCUCAGUUCGGAUUGCACUCUGCAACUCGAGUGCAUGAAGUUGGAAUCGCUAGUAAUCGCGGAUCAGCAUGCCGCGGUGAAUACGUUCCCGGGCCUU